rnacentral:lncRNA from 1 species
CGGCGGUGCUGGGUGAGGAAGACCAGCGGUAACGUUCCGCUUCGCUUUCCACCAGGCAAAACUGCGGGUCAGGGGCGGCCCCGCGAGUUCUUACCGCAGAAAGGCUCAGCACCGAGGCGGAGUCCUCCUGCAGGUCAGCGGAGGUCAGCGGAGGCCACACCUUCCAAUCCACACUCAAAUCUGAGAGCUGGUGUCGCCUGGAAGGGCUGAGCUCUGCGAGGCUGCAGGGCGGGGCAGGCCUCCCUGUCCCCGAGGACUUCGACAUUAAUUACCACCGUGACUGCUUUCUGUGUCUCACUAUUUCCCUGGCACUUUUAGCCAUCUAACAUGGAGCUAAAGAAGGCUCCCGCCCGCAUCCCUCCAGAUGUCCCAACUCUGUGGUGGCAGGGAUAAGCGUGACAAUCAGGAAGGCCAAGCUAGAGCUUGGAGACUUCCUAGGGCUUGGUCUGACAUCACUCCCGGCAGUGAUAAUUAUAAGGCUCCUUUCCUCCCCUCUCCACGCCCCCAACAAGACAACACGGAGCAUUUAUAAAUAGGAGCUCCGGGGGGCACUUCUGGGAAGGCCGGCAGGGGUGGACGGCGCACUCUCAGGGAUAAUGCGAGGCAGGAAGCCCAGGGAGGGCGGGGCAGAGGUGAUGCACAGACUGCGCAUUGCCAGUGCUUUGCGAGGUGAUGUGGGAUGUCAGCUGCCAGCCUGGGUGGGGGCUGCCCUGCUGCAGGUUCAGAGUGUGCAGACAGAGUGAAGCAGAUGGGAUUGUCUUGUGUGUCAAGGGCGGGGCCGUGAGAUGAUCUGCAUUUUUUCUUCCCAGGGUUGGCAGGAACUGGAAAUAAUUGAAAGUUGUUAGGGUCCAACUCGCUGCCCUGAAAACACUAUCAUUACUCUUCUAAUGACUAACUGUGCCUUCCAGGAGGCAAUGCAGGCAGCUGAGAAGCCUGGCUCCUGGAAGGUGGGUGUGGGAGGCUGGCAGCCUGUAAUCUUCGGGCAUAAGAGUACUCUGCCCAGAGUCCCACCCCAGCUCCAGCCUCCAGAGGAACACCCCCAGGGUCCCUCUAGCCCUUCUGCAUGCAGAGUCCUGGGGAGGCUGACAGCAGGGACAUGGGAUCAGGUGCUGUGAACCCUUGUGACCUUGGCUCGAAUGGGGUUGGGAGUGGGGGUCCCUGGCCCCAAGUCCUGUGGGAGGGGUCUACCUCAGACCUCUCUUGUUCGUUUAUCCCGAGGUCCUGGUUCUCAGCAUGCUUUCCCAGCAUUCCUGGUGAUCCUCCACCAGGCCUCCCUCGCCUCCUUUGUCCUCCUCCCUACCAUUGGAAGGGUUUUCCUAAAGCACAGGAUUGGAAAUCUACCCAUGUACAUCCGGGUUCUCCAGGCAGGAGCCUCAGGGACACCUUCUUUUCAACCCCUACUCAGGUCCUUUCUUUUUUUAAAGUUUGUCUUUGAAUUACUCUGGUGACAUUUAAAGAUAAAGGAGAAUAUACUUUUCUUACCCAUCCCACCCAGUAACUGCGGCCUGUAUCUCAUGUGGAAUACAGAACUUUGUCCCUGCCAGUGGAUUCCACAGACACCUGUCCUUGAGCCCUACCUGUUUCUUGAUGUGCCCAUGGGCUCAGGAACCAUAAUGAGGUUCAGGUCUAUGAGGCUCUUCAUGUUUUGAAAGAAGAGAACUUUAAAGUGCUGUGACAGGCAGGAGUGGCAGGCAAGCUUCAAAGGCCC